GCCCUCGGGGCUCGGACCCGCCGGGGCUGCGGAUCCCGGCGCGGCUGAGCUGAGGGCUGGGCACUGCCGCUUCCCAGCAGGACCGCUGGCUGGUGUGCGGAGCCUGUGCCCGCGGAACCCAAGCAGCCUGGGAGGCUAGACUGAGCGCGGUGGAAAGAAGGUUAGACUUGGUUACCCGGAUUCUGUUUUUAAUUCCCAGCAGUUGUCAAGGGGCUUUGCCGGCGGCAGCAGUCACCAGCUGCCUUUUGCGCCGCUCCUCUUUCUGAGGGUCGCAGGCCCACCUUCUGUGAGUGCUUCCUGCUGAGCCCGGGUGGAGGGCAGGGCUCCAGCUGCCCCUACCUGGGUGUGACGGCCCCGGGCCUCAGCCCUCACUGCUCUCUCCGAGCGACCACAGUGGGAGCUGGGUAGCUGCUCACCGCCUUCGAGGGCCCAGGAGAAGGCAAAACCCAGACCCCAGGGUGGGCCUCUCCCACCCUGGCUCUGCCAUUGUUUGGCCACCUGAGGCUGACUGUUUCUCCCAGCCAGCAGCUUUUCUCCAGGCCACGGCGUUCGCAUCCGAACAGGAGAGCCAUCCCUGGUCAGCUCAGGGACAGUCCAGGGCCCGUGGCUGUCUAGGACCCAGCCAGCGCAGUAGCCUGGAGUCCAGGUCUGUCUCAUUGGCCACAGUCACGGAGGUGGCUGAGAGCUUUUUCGUUCCUCGCGUCCCCCUCCAAGCCCCCGCGUGCACUGACCCUGAAACUCACCGUCUGCUCCUUCGCGACACGUUUCUAUUUUCCACCAACCUUCUUUAUUGGAAACAUUCCGGUAAAGGUUUUUUAGGCUCCGGAGACUCUGAUGUGUUUGCAGUCCGUUCGUUUAUCAGGUAUACACACCCUCGGAGCACCCCUCACGCGCUGCUUGAUAUGCAAAGAAGAGGAGCUCCAGGUCCCAGGUCAGAGAGGGGCGUCACACAGUAAGUAGUCCAGGGGGCUGUUGCCCCAGUUUGGAGCUGGGACCCCUCCUGACUCAGGUAAGAUGUGUCCCUGGAGAUCUCUGAGCCUCGGGUAAGGUGGGCGCUUCGGGUCACCAAGUGGGCUCUGCCCCACUUAGGAGGGGGUGGGCUGUUGGUUUCCAAGUUUUUAGACUCAGUCUCCUGGUCGGAAGGUCCCCCAAGUAUUGGCUGCCCCUGUACCCUGAUGCCAAAUAGAAACACGGAGAUGGAGGUGGAAGACACAGAAAAAGGAGCUUGAAUUUCCAGGCAAAGAGGGGACUUCAAGGACUGGGACCCCCCACCUGCAGGAGGUGGUGCAGUCUUGGCGUGUUCAAGGAUGGGCGACUUCUUAAUGAUGCCAUCCGGCCCAGCGUGAGGGCUGCAUUGUGGCAUAGGGAGGUUCCCAGGCUAGGGGUUGAAUCAGGAGCUGUAGCCACAGCCACAGCAAUGCUAGAUCUGGCCUGUGUCUGCAACCUACACCACAGCUCACGGCAACGCCGGAUCGUUAACCCACUGAGCAAGGGCAGGGAUCGAACCCGCAACCUCAUGGUUCCUAGUCGGAUUCGUUAACCACUGCGCCACGAUGGGAACUCCCAGGUUCCCAGGCUAGGGGGUCUAAUUGGAGCCGUAGCCGCCAGCCUAUGCCAGAGCCACAGCAGCGCAGGGUCCAAGGCGAGUCUGCACCACAGCUCACGGCAACGCCGGAUCCUUAACCCACUGAGCGAGGCCAGGGAUCAAACCACAGCCUCAUGUUCCUAGUCGGGUUCGUUUCUGCUGCGCCAUAGUGGAAACUCCAUAAACGACUCGUUAUGUGAAGUUUCAUGCCACUGUGCUCAGAGAAGAUACUUGAAAUGAUUUCUGUAGUCUUAGAUUUGUUGAGAAGGUCUGUCCGAAGAUGUGAGAGGGGUGUUAAAGUCUCCUACUGUGAUUGUGCUCCCGUGGAUUCCUCCUUUUACGGCUGUUAGUAUUUGCCAGUCUCUUGGAGACAGCAGAUUGCAGGCUCUUGUUUCUUUAUCCAAUCUGCCACUCUGCGUCUUUUGACUGGAGCAUUCAGUCCAUUGACAUUUAAGAUCUGCCCCCUGGGCCCUCUGCUCCAAGGUGCCUCAGGUCGGGCCGAGGACACAGUAUGGCGCCAGGGUACGGAGGCCUGAAGGAAGCUGGGGCUAGUGAAAGUUCUCACGGAGUUCCCUGGUGGCUGCCAGGCUUAAGAGUCUCUCCCGGUGUCACUGCGGUGGCUGUGGGAAGAGCCGCAUUGGGAGAUCCAACCCUGGCCAGAGAGCAUGCCAAUGUGGCAGGUGGCGCCCAAAUAAAUGUAUGAAUAAAAAGAGAUAUGGAAA
rnacentral:lncRNA from 1 species